GACGAACGCUGGCGGCGUGCUUAACACAUGCAAGUCGAACGGAAAGGCCUCUUUCGGGGGGUACUCGAGUGGCGAACGGGUGAGUAACACGUGAGUAACCUGCCCUUGACUUUGGGAUAACUUCAGGAAACUGGGGCUAAUACCGGAUAGGAGCUCCUGCUGCAUGGUGGGGGUUGGAAAGUUUCGGCGGUUGGGGAUGGACUCGCGGCUUAUCAGCUUGUUGGUGGGGUAGUGGCUUACCAAGGCUUUGACGGGUAGCCGGCCUGAGAGGGUGACCGGCCACAUUGGGACUGAGAUACGGCCCAGACUCCUACGGGAGGCAGCAGUGGGGAAUAUUGCAUAAUGGGUGGAAGCCUGAUGCAGCAACGCCGUGUGCGGGAUGACGGCCUUCGGGUUGUAAACCGCUUUCGCUCAUGACGAAGCUUUGUGUGACGGUAGUGGGUAAAGAAGCACCGGCUAACUACGUG
rnacentral:rRNA from 1 species